rnacentral:rRNA from 1 species
AUACGGAGGGUGCAAGCGUUGUUCGGAAUUACUGGGCGUAAAGCGCGCGUAGGCGGUCUGUUAUGUCAGAUGUGAAAGUCCUCGGCUCAACCGGGGAAGUGCAUUUGAAACUGGCAGACUUGAGUACUGGAGGGGGUGGUGGAAUUCCCGGUGUAGAGGUGAAAUUCGUAGAUAUCGGGAGGAAUACCGGUGGCGAAGGCGACCACCUGGCCAGAUGCUGACGCUGAGGUGCGAAAGCGUGGGGAGCAAACAGGAUUAGAAACCCCAGUAGUCC